rnacentral:rRNA from 1 species
GACGAACGCUGGCGGCGUGCUUAACACAUGCAAGUCGAACGACGACGACCGAGCUUGCUCGGUCUGAUUAGUGGCGAACGGGUGAGUAACACGUGAGCAACCUGCCCUUCACUUUGGGGUAACCUCGGGAAAUCGGGGCUAAUACCGGAUAUGAGCCGCCCUCCCGGGGUGGGCGUUGGAACGUUUUUCGGUGAAGGAUGGGCUGGGGGCCUAUCAGUUUGUUGGUGGGGUAGUGGCUCACCAAGGCGAUGACGGGUACCCGGCCUGGGAGGGGGACCAGCCACCCGGGGACUGCGAGACGGCCCAGACUCGUACGGGAGGCAGCAGUGGGGAAUAUUGCCCAAUGGGCGAAGGCCUGAUGCAGCGACGCCGCGUGAGGGAUGACGGCCUUCGGGUUGUAAACCUCUUUCAGCAGGGAAGAAGCGAAAGUGACGGUACCUGCAGAAGAAGCGCCGGCUAACUACGUG